CUGGCACCACAGAGCGAGGAGGAUGACCACUCCACCAACAAUCUGAACAAACACAAACAGUCUGGUUAGAGCUGCUGCAUCCUUUAAACACAACCAGGACAUGACAUGACUGCACAACAACAAACUCUGAAAGUGGAUUGCGGAAACGUGUGGAGGGAGCAGCACACUGUUGUACACAUGCACCAAGGAGGACAAAACAUCACCACGUAUCAAGGAGAAGAAUCACAGCACGGGGACUGGGAAUCCACGCACUGUGGAUUGUUGGCACUGCUUCAUAGUUUCUUUUCAUUGUAAAUAAACACACUUUUUCCAUUCAGAAAAUUAUGCAUUUGGGUCGUCCUUCAAUCAUCCUUGACAAUUGUCUAAUCAAAGAUCAUUUCAUCUGAGCAGAUUUGCAAACCAACACACCUGUGCUCACACGGCAUAGUUGGUAACCUGACCCAAUUUUGGCCCUCGGUCUUAUGUUUCACAUCGCUGCUCUCAGACUAGCACAAUGUUUGAUGUAAAACCAAUUCAUCUAACUGAGGAUAUUAGUGUUGCAGAGUAUAGCGUGGUGGAAAUGAAUGGAGAGAAUCCUCCACUAAACUUUUGGAUUGGCAUUACUUUUGAUUUUUUUUUUUUUUUUUAAUAUUAAUGGCAUGCUUUAGUGUUUUUAGUGUCUUGUGUGAGGUGUGGGCCACACCCAUGUGGGAGUGGAGAUUCUACUCUAGUCCAGCUGCCAGCUAUUUGGAGUUGAGUACAGGGAGCAGCUGAUUGGGAAGGAUUGGAGCCCUUCUCUAUAAAGGGGAGAGGAAGUAGGAAGGGGGGAGGUUGUUGUUUUGUUAGUAGGACACUGUUGCAGCAGGGAAGCCUUGGAGACUCCAGGAUGAAGAGUGCACAUUUUAACCUCGCCUGGUUUUGCUUUUAAAAUAAUCUGAUGAUGCUGGAGGGAGGACUUGUUUUAAUUAGGAUUCGUGUGGAUCUGCUGGGAUAAAAACACUGGAUUGGAGGCUCUCUGUGUCCAUGGAAAGGAAACUGGCCAAGAUUUAGAGAAGUUUCAGCUUGAGAGUGGAAGCCCCAGGAUCUGGUGUGGAGACCCAUCCUUGAACAACGCCAGGCCUGAAAAUGCUGGCAACCCUGACUGCAGUGGCUUUGGGCCUUGGAUUCCAGAGCGGAGUUGUGCCUUGAGCCAGUAGUUUGACUCAGAGGGAAAAAAAAUAAAUCUUGUGUACCCCGUGCAGUGUGAGUGUGGUGGUUUCUUACUGGUCAUUAUUAGAGCUUAACACCUUCUUGUACAGAGGCCGUUUUGGGCCAUACGUAACAUUAGCAUAGUUUAUUUUGUAGAGCCCUGUAGAUGCCCGAUGAAUCACAGAUAUCUA